GGGUUGUGAGGUUAAGCGACUAAGCGUACACGGUGGAUGCCUAGGCAGUCAGAGGCGAUGAAGGGCGUGCUAAUCUGCGAUAAGCGUCGGUAAGCUGAUAUGAAGCGUUAUACCCGACGAUACCCGAAUGGGGAAACCCAGUGUGUUUCGACACACUAUCAUGACAUGAAUCCAUAGUGUCAUGAGGCGAACCGGGGGAACUGAAACAUCUCAGUACCCCGAGGAAAAGAAAUCAACCGAGAUUCCCCCAGUAGCGGCGAGCGAACGGGGAGGAGCCCAGAACCUGAAUCAGUUUGUGUGUUAGUGGAAGCGUCUGGAAAGUCGCACAGUAAAGGGUGAUAGUCCCGUACACAAAAAUGCACAAGGUGUGAGUUCGAUGAGUAGGGCGGGACACGUGACAUCCUGUCUGAAUAUGGGGGGACCAUCCUCCAAGGCUAAAUACUCCUGACUGACCGAUAGUGAACCAGUACCGUGAGGGAAAGGCGAAAAGAACCCCGGCGAGGGGAGUGAAAUAGAACCUGAAACCGUGUACGUACAAGCAGUGGGAGCCUACUUGUUAGGUGACUGCGUACCUUUUGUAUAAUGGGUCAGCGACUUAUAUUCUGUAGCAAGGUUAACCGUAUAGGGGAGCCGCAGGGAAACCGAGUCUUAACUGGGCGUUAAGUUGCAGGGUAUAGACCCGAAACCCGGUGAUCUAGCCAUGGGCAGGUUGAAGGUUGGGUAACACUAACUGGAGGACCGAACCGACUAAUGUUGAAAAAUUAGCGGAUGACUUGUGGCUGGGGGUGAAAGGCCAAUCAAACCGGGAGAUAGCUGGUUCUCCCCGAAAGCUAUUUAGGUAGCGCCUCGUGAAUUCAUCUUCGGGGGUAGAGCACUGUUUCGGCUAGGGGGUCAUCCCGACUUACCAACCCGAUGCAAACUACGAAUACCGAAGAAUGUUAUCACGGGAGACACACGGCGGGUGCUAACGUUCGUCGUGAAGAGGGAAACAACCCAGACCGCCAGCUAAGGUCCCAAAGUCAUGGUUAAGUGGGAAACGAUGUGGGAAGGCACAGACAGCCAGGAUGUUGGCUUAGAAGCAGCCAUCAUUUAAAGAAAGCGUAAUAGCUCACUGGUCGAGUCGGCCUGCGCGGAAGAUGUAACGGGGCUAAACCAUGCACCGAAGCUGCGGCAGCGACACGUAGUGUUGUUGGGUAGGGGAGCGUUCUGUAAGCCUGCGAAGGUGGCCUGUGAGGGCUGCUGGAGGUAUCAGAAGUGCGAAUGCUGACAUAAGUAACGAUAAUGCGGGUGAAAAACCCGCACGCCGGAAGACCAAGGGUUCCUGUCCAACGUUAAUCGGGGCAGGGUGAGUCGACCCCUAAGGCGAGGCUGAAAAGCGUAGUCGAUGGGAAACAGGUUAAUAUUCCUGUACUCGGUGUUACUGCGAAGGGGGGACGGAGAAAGCUAGGUUAUCCGGGCGACGGUUGUCCCGGUUUAAGCGUGAAGGUGGAUGACUUUGGUAAAUCCGGGUCAUCGUUAACACUGAGGCGUGAUGACGAGUCACUACGGUGAUGAAGUAACCGAUGCUACGCUUCCAGGAAAAGCCUCUAAGCUCCAGGUAACAUCAAAUCGUACCCCAAACCGACACAGGUGGUCAGGUAGAGAAUACUCAGGCGCUUGAGAGAACUCGGGUGAAGGAACUAGGCAAAAUGGUGCCGUAACUUCGGGAGAAGGCACGCUGAUGGUAAGUGAAGUGACUUGCUCAUGGAGCUGAAAUCAGUCGAAGAUACCAGCUGGCUGCAACUGUUUAAUAAAAACACAGCACUGUGCAAACACGAAAGUGGACGUAUACGGUGUGACGCCUGCCCGGUGCCGGAAGGUUAAUUGAUGGGGUCAGCCGCAAGGCGAAGCUCUUGAUCGAAGCCCCGGUAAACGGCGGCCGUAACUAUAACGGUCCUAAGGUAGCGAAAUUCCUUGUCGGGUAAGUUCCGACCUGCACGAAUGGCGUAAUGAUGGCCAGGCUGUCUCCACCCGAGACUCAGUGAAAUUGAACUCGCUGUGAAGAUGCAGUGUACCCGCGGCAAGACGGAAAGACCCCGUGAACCUUUACUAUAGCUUGACACUGAACCUUGAGCCUUGAUGUGUAGGAUAGGUGGGAGGCUUUGAAGCGUGGACGCCAGUCUGCGUGGAGCCAACCUUGAAAUACCACCCUUUAAUGUUUGAUGUUCUAACGUGGACCCGUAAUCCGGGUUGCGGACAGUGUCUGGUGGGUAGUUUGACUGGGGCGGUCUCCUCCCAAAGCGUAACGGAGGAGCACGAAGGUUAGCUAAUCCUGGUCGGACAUCAGGAGGUUAGUGCAAAGGCAUAAGCUAGCUUGACUGCGAGAGUGACAGCUCGAGCAGGUGCGAAAGCAGGUCUUAGUGAUCCGGUGGUUCUGAAUGGAAGGGCCAUCGCUCAACGGAUAAAAGGUACUCCGGGGAUAACAGGCUGAUACCGCCCAAGAGUUCAUAUCGACGGCGGUGUUUGGCACCUCGAUGUCGGCUCAUCACAUCCUGGGGCUGAAGUAGGUCCCAAGGGUAUGGCUGUUCGCCAUUUAAAGUGGUACGCGAGCUGGGUUUAGAACGUCGUGAGACAGUUCGGUCCCUAUCUGCCGUGGGCGUUGGAAGAUUGAGAGGGGUUGCUCCUAGUACGAGAGGACCGGGAGUGAACGCACCACUGGUGUACGGGUUGUGAUGCCAAUUGCAUUGCCCGGUAGCUAAGUGCGGAAGAGAUAACCGCUGAAAGCAUCUAAGCGGGAAACUUGCCUCGAGAUGAGUCUUCCCUGGGCACUUGAUGCCCCUGAAGGGCCGUUGAAGACGACGACGUAGAUAGGCUGGGUGUGUAAGCGUAGCGAUACGUUGAGCUAACCAGUACUAAUGACCCGAGAGGCUUAACCUUACAACACCGAAGGUGUUU
rnacentral:rRNA from 1 species